AUCAGAGUUCAGAAACAUUUUCCAAAAGCUUUUUCCCCAUAUCGAUACCUACAUAAAAAGUUCAAGAUGCAUUUUUCUGCAGUGAUAUCGUUUGUAGUGUCUCUAGUGUCAGCUGUUUUAUCAUCGGAGGUUAAUGCUUAUAUUAUCAGCUGUCCUUUAAGCUCACUGCAAGAUACAUCCAAUUCAGGACUAAGACAACUAUGUUCCAUCCUGGAACAAGCAGUCGACGAUUUACCACAGCAAGCAGUUUAUUCUGGGAUAGUAGGAGACUCAAAUACCCUGUCCAGUGGCAAGAGAGUAGAUCAUAGCUUCUUGAGGAUUGGAAAAAGAUUCAAUUUUUAAAUAAGCAAAUACACAACGUUAUGUACACAAUUUUUUUGAAUAAGUAAGAGUUUUUAGACAUGAAAAAGAAAUAAAAAAGUAAAACUAUA